AGGGCCGUUGCUAAGGUACCCAGGGUGGUUGCUAGGGUAAUCGGGGCGGUUGCUAGGGUGUUGCUAUGCGGUUGCUAGGGUACCCGGGGUGGUUGCUAGGGCGGUUGCUAGGGUCCCCAUGAUGGUUGCUAGGGCCGUUGCUAAGGUACCCAGGGUGGUUGCUAGGGUAAUUGGGGCGGUUGCUAGGGUGUUGCUAUGUGGUUGCUAGGGUACCCGGGGUGGUUGCUAGGGCGGUUGCUAUGGUAACCUGGGUGGUUGCUAGGCAGUUGCUACGGUACUUGGGGUGGUUGCUAAGGUGUUGCUAGGCGGUUGCUAGGGUGUUUUGGCUGGUUGCUAGGCAGUUGCUAUGGUCUCCUGGGUGGUUGCUAUGAUGUUACUAGGUGGUUGGUAGUUGUCACAGAUGGUCACUAUGUAGUUAUUAUAGAGUUCUUAGCCCAUUUGAGCACUUAGCUAAUCAGUAUUAGCAUGUAGCUAAUCACUGCUAGCAUGACUAGCAUGUUGGAAGUCCAGUGUGCUAGCAUGAGUCAAAAAAUCCAACCGCCAUGUCUGUACGAUGUUCUGAUGCAGAGAUAUAGGUCGUGUAGAACGGUUGCUAGGGUACUCCGUUUGGUUGCUAUGGAGUGGCUUGGCAGCUGCCAGUGGUGAUACUCCAAAGUCUGCUUGCCAAUAUAAACCAACCCCCAUGUCUGUACAAUGUUGUGAUGCAGAGAUAUAGAUCUUGCAAAACGGUUGCUAGGGUACUCUGGUUGGUUGCUAGGGAGUGGCCUUGCAGCUGCCAAUGAUGAUACUUCAAAGGUUGCUCACCAAUAUAAACCAACCCCCAUGCUUCUAUGUCUUUCAGAUGUUAAGAUAUCUAUCUUUGGAUUUAGGUUGCUAGGUAGCUCUUAAUGGUUGCUAGGGCGUGGCUAGGUUGUCUUGAAGGAGAUACAUGAUUGGCCGUUUGCUGCCCGAGUCAAAC